rnacentral:tRNA from 1 species
CGGAGUGUAGCGCAGUCUGGUAGCGCACCUCGUUCGGGACGAGGGGGUCGGAGGUUCGAAUCCUCUCACUCCGA